rnacentral:rRNA from 1 species
UUCCGGUUGAUCCCGCCGGAGGUUACUGCUAUCGGUGUUCGCCUAAGCCAUGCGAGUCAUAUGUAGCAAUACAUGGCGUACUGCUCAGUAACACGUGGAUAACCUGCCCUUGGGACCGGCAUAACCCCGGGAAACUGGGGAUAAUUCCGGAUAACGCAUAUGUGCUGGAAUGCUUUAUGCGUAAAAUGGAUUCGUCUGCCCAAGGAUGGGUCUGCGGCCUAUCAGGUAGUAGUGGGUGUAAUGUACCUACUAGCCAGCGACGGGUACGGGUUGUGAGAGCAAGAGCCCGGAGAUGGAUUCUGAGACAUGAAUCCAGGCCCUACGGGGCGCAGCAGGCGCGAAAACUUUACAAUGCGGGAAACCGUGAUAAGGGGACACCGAGUGCCAGCAUCAUAUGCUGGCUGUCCAGGUGUGUAAAAUACACCUGUUAGCAAGGGCCGGGCAAGACCGGUGCCAGCCGCCGCGGUAACACCGGCGGCCCGAGUGGUGAUCAUGAUUAUUGGGUCUAAAGGGUCCGUAGCCGGUUUGGUCAGUCCUCCGGGAAAUCUGAUAGCUCAACUAUUAGGCUUUCGGGGGAUACUGCCAGACUUGGAACCGGGAGAGGUAAGAGGUAC